rnacentral:rRNA from 1 species
GACGAACGCUGGCGGCGUGCUUAACACAUGCAAGUCGAACGGAAAGGCCUGCUUUCCCUUGUGGAUUGCGGGUACUCGAGUGGCGAACGGGUGAGUAACACGUGAGUGAUCUGCCCCCAACUUGGGUAUAAGCCUGGGAAACUGGGUCUAAUUCCCGAUAGGACUGCAGGGUGGUGCCUGUGGUGGAAAACGAUUUUCUAGUGGUUGGGGAUGAGCUCGCGGCCUAUCAGCUUGUUGGUGGGGUAAUGGCCUACCAAGGCGGCGACGGGUAGCCGGCCUGAGAGGGUGGACGGCCACAUUGGGACUGAGAUACCGCCCAGACUCCUACGGGAGGCAGCAGUGGGGAAUAUUGCACAAUGGGCGGAAGCCUGAUGCAGCGACGCCGCGUGGGGGAUGACGGCCUUCGGGUUGUAAACUCCUUUCGACCGCGAGGAAGCCACCUGGUUGGAAGGGUGGUGACGGUAGUGGUAGAAGAAGCACCGGCUAACUACGUG